UACGUAGGGGGCGAGCGUUGUCCGGAAUCAUUGGGCGUAAAGCGCGUGUAGGCGGUCUGUCGCGUCGGCUGUGAAAUCCCGAGGCUCAACCUCGGGUCUGCAGUCGAUACGGGCAAACUAGAGUAUUGCAGGGGAGACUGGAAUUCCUGGUGUAGCGGUGAAAUGCGCAGAUAUCAGGAGGAACACCGGUGGCGAAGGCGGGUCUCUGGGCAAUAACUGACGCUGAGGAGCGAAAGCGUGGGGAGCGAACAGG
rnacentral:rRNA from 1 species